GGCUCCUGAGGUCUGAAAAAACGACAGCAGGAUUCAGCGUUCCUCUGAUAACCACUCAGAAAAUAGAAUGUGAAGAAGAAGGAGGAAGGGAAGAUGCGGGGCCAGCCAUCAGAAUGCUCCCUGUGGCUCCAUGGAUGCCUAGAAAUGCUGGUCACUUAAAGGGCACAGAGAAAGGGACUAGAAAAUCCUCCGGAUGGGCCUUCAAAGGGUGAGUCGCUUUGGGAUGCCAGUUUCUUCCCUGCAGAAGGAAGGAUGAUUGUUUGUCAAUAUUUAACAUAAUUGGACCUGGGUCCUCUUCUGAACUGCCAGACACCUCUGAGGAACCACCAAGAUUCUAGGAACAUGCCUGUGAGCACUAUUGCCUAAUGCUCUUAUCUAUGCUUAUCAUAGCAGUCACUGAGCAGGACUCCCAAAGGCCACCGCUGCUGUCCAGCACCCCUCUCAAUGCAGCUACUCCCAGUGGGUUGUGGAACCACUCUCUCCUGUGUCUUCAAGUAUAGAGGUGGAAACAGCUGUCUGCUGUUGCUUGCACCAAGUUCUGCAGGCUUAACAGGAAACAUGACUGGGAGGCCUCAGGAAACUACAAUCAUGGCGGAAGGUGAAAGGAAAGAAACACCUCUUACCAUGGCAGAAUAGCAGAGAGAGAAAGCGAAGGGGUGUAGGCAGAGGAGCCUGAAUCUAAUCCUGUGUCCUUAUAAGGAAAGACAGAGGAAAAUUUGAGAAAGAAGAGAAAGGCAUGUGAAGAUGGAGACGGAGACUGGAGUCACACAGCCACAAGCCAAAGAACACCUGAAGCUCCCAGAAGUUGGGAGAGGCAAAUAAUUCUCCCCUGAAGACUUCAGAAAGAACAUGCGCCUACUGACACCUUGAUUUCAGACUUCUGGCCUCCAGAACUGUGAGAGAAUAAAUGCCUAUGGUUCUAAGCCACCAAGUUUGUGGUCAUUCGUUACAGCAGCCCUAGGAAACUAAUAUAGGCGUUAAGUGAACAAAGACCACAGAAUGCUCUUUGAUAACCCUGCCAGUCAUGCAGUCCCAACCAGUAUGAUCUCAUCCCACACAAAGGGCCGAAGAUCUAUCAUGCAUUUUGUUUUGCCAGCUUCUUCAGAGUUGGCUUUCAGGAAAGAACUACAUCUUGUUUGAUUGAAAAUAUUUUGAAAAAUCAUUCACCAUCUCUGAUGGUAUUUAUGGCUCAACAUUCUUUAUAGCAAGAGGAUGAAUACUAAAUUAGAAGCUUAUUUCAAAAUUGUGGUGGGCCUGCCUACCACACACAGACAGGGAGAACUAACUUCUUCAAGAAAGAAUAAACAGAGGGAGAUAGCCAAGGGAUCCGUUCUGAGAGAUUUUAUUUCCUUAAGCAAAAGUGGCCCUGGCUUGGACAUUGCAGGAAGAUUGAAAUGCCAUCCUUGUGCCAAUAAGACAAAAGAGGCAGCCCAUAUUCGUCGGGGUUUUGGGUUUGAGGUAUGAUCCUAUGAUAAGACAGGUAAUAUCCUAUUAUAAAUAGCCUAAAAGGGAAAAAGGGAGAAAAGGAGAAAACCACAACAUCAAAACUUCACAUUUACUUUAGGAAGUCAAAGUAAAUCCAGAGAUCAGAGAACCUGGCAUAGAUCUUGUUAACAUUUUGAAAUCAGUUUGUCUCCAAUAGUAGUCCCAAAAUGUAAGUAUUUAAAAAAAAUUCUUCUGAGGCAAUUGCUUCCCUCCCACAAACCACUUAACAGUACAAGCUUCUUAGUUUUAACUUCAAACAUAAUGUGACAAAAAUGUAUAUUUCAAGGACAAA